UGUUCCUACGGGGGGCAGCAGUGAGGAAUAUUGGUCAAUGGACGAGAGUCUGAACCAGCCAAGUAGCGUGAAGGAUGACUGCCCUAUGGGUUGUAAACUUCUUUUAUAUGGGAAUAAAAUGUUCCACGUGUGGGAUUUUGUAUGUACCAUAUGAAUAAGGAUCGGCUAACUCCGUGCCAGCAGCCGCGGUAAUACGGAGGAUCCGAGCGUUAUCCGGAUUUAUUGGGUUUAAAGGGUGCGCAGGCGGAUUUUUAAGUCAGCGGUCAAAUCGUGGGGCUCAACCCCAUCCAGCCGUUGAAACUGGG
rnacentral:rRNA from 1 species